GCGUUCGGUAGUGCAACGGUUCAGCAUGCGCUCAUGGAUAGCGUGAAAUCUGGGUUCGAAUCCCAGCUGACGUA